rnacentral:rRNA from 1 species
CAUGCCGUAAACGAUGAAUGCUAAGUGUUGGAGGGUUUCCGCCCUUCAGUGCUGCAGCUAACGCAUUAAGCAUUCCGCCUGGGGAGUACGACCGCAAGGUUGAAACUCAAAAGAAUUGAC